CCAAUAGCGUAUAUUAAAGUUGUUGCAGUUAAAAAGCUCGUAGUUGAAUUUCGGGGUUCAUACGUUGGUCGGGCUAUUUGGUCUGUACUUAUGUAAUGGAUUCCUACCUUCUGAAUAACCGGCAUGCCAUUAAUUUGGUGCGCCGGGGAAGCAGGACUGUUACCUUGAAAAAAUUAGAGUGCUUAAAGCAGGCUAUCGCCUGAAUACAUUAGCAUGGAAUAAUGAAAUAGGACGGCAUGGUUCUAUUUUGUUGGUUUCUAGGAUCACCGUAAUGAUUAAUAGGGAUAGUUGGGGGCAUUAGUAUUCAAUUGUCAGAGGUGAAAUUCUUGGAUUUAUUGAAGACUAACUUCUGCGAAAGCAUUUGCCAGGGAUGUUUUCAUUAAUCAAGAACGAAAGUUAGGGGAUCGAAGACGAUCAGAUACCGUCGUAGUCUUAACCAUAAACUAUGCCGACUAGGGAUCGGACGAUGUUAAUUUUUUAAUGACUCGUUCGGCGCCUUACG
rnacentral:rRNA from 1 species